rnacentral:rRNA from 1 species
CACGUAGGCGGUCCCGUAAGUCGGGUGUGAAAGCCCUCAGCCUAACUGAGGAACUGCGCCCGAUACUGCGGGGCUUGAGGAUGGGAGGGGAGAGUGGAAUUCCUGGUGGAGCGGUGAAAUGCGUAGAUAUCAGGAGGAAUACCAGUGGCGAAGGCGACUCUCUGGUCCAUUCCUGACGCUGAGGUGCGAGAGCUAGGGGAGCAAACG